GACCGGCUCAAGGCUGCAGUGCGCCUGCGUAGCGGCGGCUGUAUGCUGCGCGUGCGCGUUGUGGGCCUGGGGCUCAGGCCGGGCGUUCGCGGAGUUUGUGACGUUCAGUGAGCUGAGUAUACAGCUAGUUGUUCCCUCCAAACGCGUGGACGCGGUGUUCACGUCCUCGCCCCGGCCUCAGCUCUGCCGUGCUCCAUCUCACUUCAGGGAUCUGCUCCCUAACAGGUGGAGUAUCCUCUAGCAGUUGAGCAGACUGAGAUUGAGAAAGUGGACCUGGGGCAUUGAAGAAGGCCCGUGGUCUGUGGGAUGUUCUGGUGUCAGAAGGAAGGCAGGAUACAGCCUACCCUUUUCCUUUUAGCCGGUUUGCCAAUCUUAGCACUUUGGAAGGUUGCUUUCUCACUGAUCAUUUGGCAGGCAGUCUGUGCAGACUUCUCACUGGUCUGCCGCGCUGGAAACUACCUGUUGAUGUGUCUAGAUGGGCCAGAAACUUAAAACAAAUCUUUUAUUGGGGUGCAACUUAAAAUACACAAAUGUGAAGUGUUUGGCUCAGUAGAUCUGUAUUAGGUGUAUACCUAUAUAACUAUUACCCAGAUAAAGAACGUUUCUAGUGCCCAGAGGACUCCCUUGUGUCCUCUCCCAAUUACUACUCACCCAAAAAAGGUCACAGUUCGGGUCAGGAACUGUUAGAUUUUUAAAGCUCUAAGCAUCUAGCUAAGUGCCACUCACUUAAUUGAGGCUCAAAUAUUUCUUCGAUCUUGCUGAGUGUGAGUCAAGAAAUCAGAUGACCUAGAAUGGAGUCUUUCAUUCACUUAGCAAAUAUUUAUUGAGAACCCUCUACAUGUCAAGUAUCAUACCAGGGAUGCUGGGGUGAAGGAAACAAACCCUUGUUUUCGUAGUGCUUAGCAUUCUAAAUGGGAAGACUAAUGCAUAAUUACAUAUUUAUAUUUAAUGUAAUGUCAGGUACUGAUCAGUGCUGUGAAGAAAAGUAAAGUAAGGAAUAAGGAUGUUGGGGUUGUUUUGAGCCAAUGACCAGGGAAGGCUUCUCUGAGUUGUCAUUUGAGCAGAGACCUAAAUGAAAUGAGUGGUGGAGGCAUGUAGAUAUCUGGAGAAGAGUGUUUCAAUCAGAGGAAACAGCAAGUGCAAAGGUUCCGAGACCUCAAGUACUAUGCUUGACCUGCUCACAGAACAUUAAGGGUCAGUUCGGCCUUACAGGCCAUGGUGGAGACUUUAUACUACAUUCUGAGUGUGAUGGUAAGCGACUGGAGGAUUUGAGUAGAUGACAUGAUCUGAUGUAUUUUUAAAGGAUCACACUGGCUGCUGGAGGUGGGACCCUGGAAGAGGGCAAGUAUAGAAGGAGGGAAACAAGUUCGGAGCAAGUACAGUGGUACAAGAGAGUCUGGGAAGUUGGAGCUAGAGUGGGAAGUGAUGCAGGUGGUGAAAAUUGGUCAGAUUCUGAAUAUAUUUUUGGAUAUCUGAGCCAACAUAAUGUGCAGCUGGAUUGGAUGUGGAGCGUGAGAAAAAGGAAUCAAGGAUGAUGGAUUUCCACCAGCCCCCCUCCCCACCAGUCCACACACCUGAGCAACCAAGUGAAGGAUGCCAAGGCCCUCUACUGAGAUGGAGGAAGACUAGGAAGAGAGGAUUAUUCGAUAAACUUGGAGAAUACUGUCAUCAGAAGGCUCUGGGUCAUCAGCCACGGAAGGAUGGAAACAAAGAGACAGAAACAGCAAGAGAUCCUUCACCAGAUAGAGAGGCUUUGGCACUACCAUCCCCACCACAGACGCAGCCAGGAAAAAUGAAAGCUGCUGGGAGAGCAGGCGUUGGCAGACAGCCACAGCCCCAGAGGGCAGCUGGGGCCUUCACACAAAAACAGGUCUACGUGGAGGCAGCAGAAGAGGGGCCAACAGAGAGCACCAAGCCGGAAGAAACAACUCGUGCCACCCAGGACCCACGGCAUGGGUGCUCAGGUGCCGGAGGGUAGUCAACUCAGUGCCCCCAGCUAAUGAGAGAUUGGAGCUGGGCCUGAGAGGCUGCAACCCACAGGUUUAGUAAACAUAGCCCAGCAUCUCAUCCCUCCGAGAAGUGAUGGACAAGCAGCCUUAACUCUGCCCCAGUGCUGCAUCUAGAAAGACCAGGCUCUCCCGGGUGAUGUCCCCAGUUUGUUCUUUCCCACGGAAACCAUUUCUCAGCCUCUCCUGCAGCCCUGAAGCUACCCAGCAAGUUGCAGACACGCUUAUGAAAUGUCUUCACCUGAGGCUGCCUGAUUGGUUUAUCAGCCCUGGCCCUAGGAACAUUUCCUUACGAUGAGCAGUGACAUUUACAGCUCCGAGAAGUACAAGGGAAACAUUUUUCUUGCUGACCCCCCUCUCUCUCUCUAAUGAAGUGGUCAUUAUCAUCUUUCAAAGGUGGGCUCUGUCAGUCAAAAAUGUGCCACACCUUCCCAUAGGAGAAACACUGUGAAUGUCAGAAACCCGACAGUACUUUCUGAGGUGAAUAAAAGCAGCGGUUCGAAAACUGUAACACGAAA